rnacentral:tRNA from 1 species
GUACCCGUAGCUCAGCUGGAUAGAGUGUCUGCCUCCGAAGCAGAAGGUCGCGCGUUCAAAUCGCGCCGGGUGCACCA